CGGACGGGUGAGUAAUGUCUGGGAAACUGCCCGAUGGAGGGGGAUAACUACUGGAAACGGUAGCUAAUACCGCAUAACGUCGCAAGACCAAAGAGGGGGACCUUCGGGCCUCUUGUCAUCGGAUGUGCCCAGAUGGGAUUAGCUAGUAGGUGGGUAACGGCUCACCUAGGCGACGAUCCCUAGCUGGUCUGAGAGGAUGACCAGCCACACUGGAACUGAGACACGGUCCAG
rnacentral:rRNA from 1 species